rnacentral:lncRNA from 1 species
AUUUAACACUUCACCUAAAUGAAUCCGGACGGAUGUCUGAAACAUGUAUUCACUGACCAUGUCUGUUCAAUCUCCACUCAUAAAGCUAGUAGCGGCACUUGUUAGCAUAUGUUUGAUGCAGUGACCAUGAUCAGUUUUACAACCUCGGUGUAAGGUGUCCUAUUAAUACCGCAUGAUGAUUAUAGUGAUGAUAUAAUAUAUGAUGAUAUAAUCAUCAUGAUGAUUAUAUCCAUAGUCUGUUAGCCUAUGGAUGCUCAUAUCUACCUGUUAGUAAUGGAAUGUCAUAUAAUAUGAUGAUCUUAUCGUCAGACUUUGAUUCCUAUAUUUGUUUUGACAUAAUUGCCAAAACUGUGUGCGUCAUGAUGCAAUCAGAUGUUUGGGAAAUCCCGGAUUGUAAUAACGCAUUUAUCGUUGACGGUCGUCUAGCCUCUACACCUUUAAGACGUCGAAACUGUGCGAAUUGGGAGUGGGCAUAUGUUCGACUGUAAAAUCACAACACUUCGCAAUGGGAAAACUGUGAAGAGGACCAUCUGCGCUGACCACUAGUUAUAGAAAAGGUUUGAAAUAAUGUGCACCAAUAGGCUAUUUUGCCAUAAUAACUAUGUCUGAAAAGUGAUACGGAAACCAUUAAAUGCAUGUGGGAUGAGGUUUGCGCAAUGGACGCACAAGGGUCUUGGUCUGCAUACGUCAACACAUUUUGUGACAGUUUCCAGGGCUGACAUGUUUACGUUUUGAUUUGCCUCUAGAAUGUUGUAUUUUAAUCGUCUCUGACAUUUGACAGAAAUGUAUUGCCGAUCAGCAGGGAAAUUGUGCUGCUAAAGUGUGAAAUAUGUUUCCAGUUGAUUUUCUUGAGUUUUGUUAUCUACCACAUUCUCCAUUUUAACUCCGUAUUUAGCCAGCGACAACGAUAUUUAUCACAUCGACACAAAAAUAUCUGCCGGUAUCCUGCAUGUUGUACUGUUGUGGAAGCAAGGACAAGGAGAAGCAGCGCCCGGGCGCUGCAGAGGUGUCGAGAGUUCUAGAGACAGAGACAGAGAAAAACCGAAAGAGCCAAGAAAGUGCACCUCAACCACUGGACAUGUACGGAAUAGCGACGAUGCCCGAGCUUCUACCACCCUCUGGCGUACUCCAGCCCAGCUCAGUAAUCCCACGCGAGUCGGGUGAGGUGCCUGGUUUGUGGAAUGGAUUCAACAGGGGUGUGCUGAGUUUUGACUCCCCCCAGCGGAGACGAGGCCAACGGGCCCCGAAGUUAGGGCAAAUAGGACGGUCGAAGAGAGUGGUUAUAGAGGAUGACGACUUGGAUGAUGUCAUGAAACACAAUGGCCUCCCCAUAUCAAUCAAUAUCUCUCCUGUUGCCUGAACAACUCUGAUAGUGUCCAGACCUCAAGAGGCUAUUGUGCUCAUUUGUGAAAUUCUGAAGUGUAUACCACUUGUUCUGGACAAUGUCCAAUUCAGGUGCCCAUUGCAAAGUUUACAAUAGUAGCAUGCGCAUCACAUGUAGUUUAGCUUUUCCUGGACACAGGAAGGUCGGUGUCCCAAGGAAAUUGAAGUAAAAAACAGUGCAUCUUUGCUUCAGCUGCUGUUCUGGUGUUGAAGGGGGGACUUUGUGUCCUGAGGAGAGGGGAGUAAUUAGGAUAGAUUUGGGUCCGGACAGGCUGAAACAUAAGCACACAAGAGAAGGCCCUACCCAUCAAGACCUGCCCCUUCAAAAUGAGUGGACCUGUUUGUUUGUUGUUCAGUCUUUAGUGUCUGUAUUUUAAACACUCCAUCCAAGAUGUUAUUUUAAUUUAUGUGUCAAUCCAACCCAUAUCUAAUUGAGAAAACAGCUACUCAUAGUGCUGGGCAGUGUUUUCACAAUAUUAUUUAUUUUACAUUAUGUACGCUUUUUCAGUGUUUCACAUAUUAUGUUGACAACACUUAUUUUAGUUUUUGACGGAUGACAACACUGUCUCAUUUUGGUGCAAACUAAUUAUCUGUAAAAUCUGUUGUAAAACGUGUUAGAUACACUGAAGGCUUUAAUUUGCUGUUGUAACAUGUCAUAAUCAUUGUCUUAGUAUAACUGUAUGUUACUUUUACCCCUGAGUUGCUAGACAAAAAGAGUUCCCACUGUGAACUAUUUAUGGAACUUCUAUGUAUCCCUUUGAGGUGUAAUAUACACAUUUUUUACAACCAGCUUCCUGUUAUAUUCUUCACCAUAAUGCCACAUCUGUUAGAAAAGUCAUGUGACAUUCAGAUAAGUAGCCUAACUGAUGUUAAACCCAGCUAUGAAGCAGAACACUACAUGGAGGAGCAACUCACAAGGAAUUUGGUGUAAGACUCACCGAGCUUUGAGGAAUACAUUGUUUUGAUGUAAUCAUUGUUCAGUUUGGCUGUCAUCUCUUUGUCAAGAUUAAUAGAUGUAAAGUUAUAAAAUGUACCCCUCACUAGAGAGAUACAAGCAGGGUUUAGUUUAAAUCAAUUCACUUUACAAGUGUUUUCUAAAUGGCAUGUAUUAUUGUAAAUCCUCCUUGAAUCUACCUGUUAGUGUUUUCCAACCCUUUUCAGUUAUCAAAUUUUGUCACAUGCACCGAAUACAACAGGUGUAGACCUUACCGUGAAAUGCUUACUUACAAGCCCUUAACAAUGCAGUUAAGAAAAUAUUUAAGCAAAUUGUACCAAGAGAAUUUUGCUCUACCCAGAGUACCCCUGACAUACCCCCUCAUGUGCAUUAUACCAGUAUUAUCUCACGAGUCUUCUCAAGUACCCCCCGUCAAGUACCCCCAGGGGUCCUAGUAACCCGGUUUGGGAACCACUGUGUUAGUGUGAUCCGCUGUUGUGUAAUGGUAGUAUGCACCAUCAGAUGGCGAUAAAGUCAAAGGAACAGUCGUCAGCCCAAAAUCUCUUACUCAACCCCUCAAUCUGUUAUUCAUUUGUAAUAAAACCUGUUUGUCUUUGGAAAGUCACAAGCU